rnacentral:rRNA from 1 species
UUAUGGCUCAGGAUGAACGCUAGCUACAGGCUUAACACAUGCAAGUCGAGGGGCAGCAUAGCGGAAGCUUGCUUCUGCUGAUGGCGACCGGCGCACGGGUGAGUAACGCGUAUCCAACCUUCCCUACAGUAGGGGAUAGCCCGGCGAAAGUCGGAUUAAUACCCUAUGUUCUUCUUCGAUGACAUCUGACGAGAAGCAAAGGUUCACCGCUAUAGGAUGGGGAUGCGUCUGAUUAGCUUGUUGGCGGGUAACGGCCCACCAAGGCUACGAUCAGUAGGGGUUCUGAGAGGAAGGUCCCCCACAUUGGUACUGAGACACGGACCAAACUCCUACGGGAGGCAGCAGUGAGGAAUAUUGGUCAAUGGGCGAGAGCCUGAACCAGCCAAGUAGCGUGCAGGAAUGACUGCCCUAUGGGUUGUAAACUGCUUUUAUGCGGGAAUAAAGUCGGGCACGUGUGCCUGUUUGUAUGUACCGCAUGAAUAAGGACCGGCUAAUUCCGUGCCAGCAGCGGC